rnacentral:rRNA from 1 species
UACGGGGGGGGCAAGCGUUGUUCGGAAUUACUGGGCGUAAAGGGCUCGUAGGCGGCCAACUAAGUCAGACGUGAAAUCCCUCGGCUUAACCGGGGAACUGCGUCUGAUACUGGAUGGCUUGAGUUUGGGAGAGGGAUGCGGAAUUCCAGGUGUAGCGGUGAAAUGCGUAGAUAUCGUGAGGAAGACCAGUGGCGAAGGCGGGUCUCUGGACAGUUCCUGACACUGAGGCACGAAGGCCAGGGGAGCAAACGGG